rnacentral:lncRNA from 1 species
ACGCAGAUCGGAGACGUUCCUUCUGUAUCGGCUCUCACCUUACUGGUGCUGCCUGCUGUCGGCGUGUUCGACCGUGCUGCUCGGAUUGGUGCUCAGUCUCUUUAUCGCUGGACCCGACGACAGCCUAAGAAAUGCCGCCAGACUCUCAACCCCUGUGAUGUUGAAAUUCUGGCAGCGGAUAGGUCUGCUUCGACAUUUACAAAAGGAGGAUGGCCACAUCACAGUCAUCGAUCCGUGCUUCAAAGUGUCAUCUUUGGAACUGCAACACUUGCAAGAAAAAGACGGAGACCUUUGCCCUCCUGUUGAUUCGAUGAAAGAAGCCGGCGUGAUUUACAAGUUCACUCCUCUCACAACGUGAUACGCUAGCCUCUAAAGAAAGGCAGAUAAAGUGAUAUUGUCAG